CACCACAGGUACUGUACUACUGUAAAACACUCCAACACUAUAAUUCCAGGUGGAUCUGGUCCAGUCUGUGUUAAUAUCCUCGCUCUCUCCUGUGUUUAGUUCCAGGUGGAUCCGGUCCAGGUGAUGUGACCUAUGCUGACGUCAACCACACAAAAAGACAACACAACAGGAGGAGAGAGAACGUCGUUCCAGACCCUGUCUACUCAGCAGUGAAGACAGACAGACCGAGAUACAGGUAGAGCUGUAUCUGGACCCAGGGAAGUAAUGUACAGACUGAGUGACCCUGUUCAUCAGAACGUCAUGGUGGGUGGAAAAAGAUGCUCUCUUCAGCAGCGGUGAAUAACCACAACCCUGUCAGUCCAUCUCUUUACUUCUCAUUUCUCUUAUUUUCUCUCUCCCCCUUCCCUUUUCACACCAGCACACUUAUCUUUAGAUGCAGCAGCCUUGACCUCCAUCAACAGUAUCAGCAACAGAGAGGUGUGAAGUUUCCACAACAGAGUUAGAGUCAGUUUAUCAUGUACUUCUCUUUAGAUGCUGCAGCCUUGACCUCCAUCAACAGAGUUAGAGUCAGUUUAUCAUGAGAACAUUCAGACACCACUGACUGGAACCAGCUGACAGUAUCAGUUGUAAAGGCUUCAUUACUACUAACAGAAGGAAAGUUGUAGUGUUAUGUCCAUGAUGAAAAGGCUUCAUUACUACUAACAGAAGGAAAGUUGUAGUGUUAUGUCCAUGAUGUAAUGUCAUUGUGUGUGUUUACCUUGAGCAACACCAUUGUAUGGUUGCUAACUUGUCAAAUUAAGCUUCCUAAAAUUUGUUAGAAAAUGUGUCAGUGUCACAACUAUACUAAUGUCACGUCCUGACCAUAGUAAGAUGUUAUUUUUAGAGCAGGGUGUGGCAGGGGGUGUUGUGUUUUUCUAUGUUUUGUAUUUCUAUGUUGUUUAUUUGGGAUGAUCUCCAAUUAGAGGCAGCUGGUCCUCGUUGUCUCUAAUUGGAGAUCAUACUUAAGUAUGUUUUUUUUACACCUGUGUUUUUGGGUAGUUGUCUUCUGCUUAGUUUUC